GUUUUUAAUAGCUCUUUAUUUUGUGAGCUGCUCACCCCUAGAUCCUAAUGUGCUUCAUAAAAAUAAGGUACCUGAUGGAUGAGGAUGGCAUGGGUGUCAUAACACGAGCACCAAAAGCUCAGUUCACACAGAAGCUCCUUGGCUUCAGAAGAGCUCCCACCUCCACUUCAGCUGUUUUGGCACACAGGAGAGCACUGGGCUGUCCCUUGGGGCUGAGGGAAGGCCAUGCAGGUGCAGCUAUGAAGAUAUGAUAAUACCUGAACUGGAGACAGAAGGUCCUGUUGGGGAUAAAAAAG